UACGUAGGCAGCGAGCGUUGUUCGGAGUUACUGGGCGUAAAGGGUGUGUAGGCGGUUUUCUAAGUUUGGUGUGAAAUCUCCCGGCUCAACCGGGAGGGUGCGCCGAAAACUGGGAGACUAGAGUGCGGGAGGGGAGAGUAGAAUUCCUGGUGUAGCGGUGAAAUGCGUAGAUAUCAGGAGGAAUACCGGUGGUGAAGACGGCUCUCUGGACCGCCACUGACGCUGAGACACGAAAGCGUGGGUAGCAAACAGG
rnacentral:rRNA from 1 species